rnacentral:rRNA from 1 species
AGACGAAGGCUUAUUGCCGAUGUAAUUUUUAAUAAUUGCAAUAGUAACUCCGUUACAUAAAGUUCUAGGCAAGUAUUUGAUAAUGACAUAACUUGUCUAUAAGUCUUGACUAAGUCACGUGCCAGCAGUCGCGGUAAUACGUGGAAGACAAGCGUUAUUCAUCUUUAAUAGGUUUAAAGGGUACCUAGACAGUUAAUAAAGCCCAACAGGGGACUAAUUACACUAGAGUUUUAUAUGAGAAGGGGAGAACGGUGUGUGGAAAGAUGAAAUUUAUUGAUACCACUUAGAGACUGUCAACAGCGAAGGCAACCUUUUAUGUCAAAACUGACGUUGAGGGACGAAGGCCCACUAUAGAGAACAGGAUUAGAGACCCUAGUAUUCAGGGCAGAAAAUGAUGAGUGUCAUAUAUAAGUAUUGUAAUACUGCUAAUGUAUUAAAAAAAGUAGUAUUUUAUGUAUUUAUAUAUAAACGAAAGUGUAAGCACUCCACCUCACGAGUAACAUGGCAACAUAGGAACUGAAAUCAUUAGACCGUUUCUGAAACCAGUAGUGAAGUAUGUUGUUUAAUUUGAUAAUCCACAAAGAACCUUACCACCAAUAUUAUAUGUAUAUAUUUCUUUAUUAAAGAAAUUUACAAGUGUUGCACGGCUGUCUUCAGUUGAUAUCGUGAGAUUUUGGUUAGUUCCAUUCAAUCAACGUAAACCCUUACUUUAUUUUUUAUAUAAAGUAGUUCACCGCAUGGUAAGAUAACAGGGACCAAGACAAGUCAUCAUGACCUUAUAUAUCGUGGGCUAUAG